GUCAGCGGCAGAUGGAAAACCGGAUGUUCCAUUAUUUUCAGUGAGAGGUUGACGGAAAAAUUUCACCACCUCUGGCGGUGAGAAUGGCAGCCGGUGGUAACUGCCCACCAC